rnacentral:rRNA from 1 species
UACAGAGGUCUCAAGCGUUGUUCGGAAUUACUGGGCGUAAAGCGCGCGUAGGCGGACCUGCAAGUCGGGGGUGAAAGCCCGAGGCUCAACCUCGGAACUGCCUUCGAUACUGCGGGUCUCGAGUCCGGGAGAGGUGAGUGGAAUUCCUAGUGUAGAGGUGAAAUUCGUAGAUAUUAGGAAGAACACCAGUGGCGAAGGCGGCUCACUGGCCCGGUACUGACGCUGAGGCGCGAAAGCGUGGGGAGCAAACAGG